AUGAGGAUGAGAACCUCCGGGGGCGGGGAGGUUCGACUCGAGCGAAGCGAGAGAACGUUGCGCCAGCAACGGCCCGCAGGGCGAGCCACGAAGUGGCGAGUAAUCCUCUAUCACCGACCA
rnacentral:sRNA from 2 species